GACAAAUUAUGAUCACCCCAAUAUCCAUGACGAGCAAGGAAAUGAUAGAUCAGAUUGUAGUUUUGAAGCAAAAUCAAACCAGAGACCUAAGUCGUGAGAAUCCUAAUUCCACAAAUUACAGACUGCAAUCCUGGUCCCAUUGAGUGCAGUGGAAAUGCUGCCAUGGACUUCACUGGGUCACCGUUGCACCUACAAAGCUCAGCAGGAAGACCAGAGUGGCUCUGUUUCAAGCUGCAUCUGGACCACCAGCUUCCACCUAGGGCAGAACUAACCUUCCUGAACGUCCCUAGCACACGAUGAGCUGAAUUUGCAGGGGAGAGAUGGUCCCUGAGAAGCACAGAGGCGUUGCAGAGGAAGACCACUGAAGGAAGGAGCUGGCAUGAGCAAAGCACCAAAGGACCAUGGCUCUGAACCUGACCCAGGAAUAUCUCAUGUCCAGGUUCCUCGCAGCAAGAUGCCCCACUUUCAACCUCAGCCAGGCAAAGAAGACUUAUGGGAACACAACCUCAGGCUUCGUUAUCCUCUGGUAUCUCACAAUAUUUCCAUAAUUUUCAACCCAAGGAGAAGUGAGAUCUGUGACACCGCUGCAGUGUACUUUUUUCCUUCCCUUCCUAUUUUAACAGGGUUGUGCACUGGGAAAAGCACCCUGUUGUUUGUGAAUUCCAGAGGGAAAACUAUCGGCAAUUUCGUGCUGAC